UACCUGGUUGAUCCUACCAAUAGUCAUAUACUUGUCUCAAAUAUUAAGCCAUGCAUAUCUAAGUAUGAACUAAUUCAGACCGUGAAACUGCGGAUGGCUCAUUAAAUUGGUUAUAGAUUCUUUGAUGGUACCCUACUACUCGGAUAACCGUAGUAAUUCUAGAGAUAAUAUGUGCACCAAGUCCCGACUCUUUGGAAGGGAUGCAUUUAUUAGAUAAAAGGCCGG
rnacentral:ncRNA from 1 species